GAUGAAGAACGUAGCGAGAUGCGAUAAGUAAUGUGAAUUGCAGAAUUCAGUGAAUCAUCGAAUCUUUGAACGCACAUUGCGCCCGUCAGUAUUCUGGCGGGCAUGCCUGUUCGAGCGUCAUUACGCCCCUCAAGUCCCCUGUGGACUUGGUGUUGGGGAUCGGCGAGGCUGGUUUUCCAGCACAGCCGUCCCUUAAAUUAAUUGGCGGUCUCGCCGUGGCCCUCCUCUGCGCAGUAGUAAAACACUCGCAACAGGAGCCCGGCGCGGUCCACUGCCGUAAAACCCCCCAACUUUUUAUAGUUGACCUCGAAUCAGGUAGGACUACCCGCUGAACUUAAGCAUAUCAAUAAGCGGAGGA
rnacentral:misc_RNA from 1 species